CUCCCCACGAUGUGUAUUCAAAGCGUUGUGUAGAUCUAAGAAGUGGUGUGGGUUUAGUAUAAAUAUAUGUGAGAUUCUUCUCCUUGAAGUCAUCUUCUCUUGAUUAGAAAUCCGGCCGUCGCUCUUCCACCGUCGACGUGUGGCUGCUCAUACCACCCUAAUUUGUACAUGGCUAUGUUUCCCUACUCCCUACUCCCUAGCCCUCCCACUUUCAACAACUUUUAUGAGGUUUGUUCCCAGUGUGUCUGAGUGUAGACUGGUUUUCUAUAAGUGCGACAUAAAUUCAGACUCCUUAGGGUGUUUUGUGAUUUCUUCUCCAAUCAAUUCCAAUCUCACUUCGUUUUACAAGAUUUUUUUCAUUGUUGUUUCGGGUGGGUCUAACGGUGAUGGUGAAGCUGAGAUAGUCGCAACGAUUUUCGACAUUGAUGCUGGAUGAGAGUUUCAGAAGAAGAGCAUUGUUGUUGCUAUUUACUUUGACCAAGAUGACGAGACUGAGUGAUUGUUGAAGUUAUGUCUACGAAUGGACUCUAAUGAGUAUGAGUGUCUGGAGAAAAAAUUCGUGUAUGGUUGGUGAUGAAAAAGCCAAACCUGAAGUAAAAGAUAGGACUAGAAGCACAGGCAUAUGAGAGACGGAGACGAGGAUGGUCGAUGUUCUGAGCCGUCGAGGUUGCACCAACGUUCAUUAUCUAGAGACAGAGAGAGGGAUAUGCAUAGAGAUAUUCAGGAGCACAGAGACGUGAGAGUUAUAGGGCUCGCUAAAAGGGUGGAGAUGAGAAGAUAUAAACGGAAAGAGAGAGUGGCUCUUAUUUUUGAUGCACUGCAGAAGCAGGUGAAUAACUAAGAAAGAUAAACAGGGUUCAUCUUCAAACGAAUCUAUCACCAUUAAUGGAGUUUCAGGAGGUUGUGUGAGGCGAAUUUUCAUGCGGAAUAAUUGGGUCGAGCUUCGUUUGUGUCGGCGGUGUAUAUCCACCUAUAAAAGGUUGUCUCCGAUAAAAGCAAAGAGUCGGGUGGGGAUUCUACCAUUACAGCUUUGAGGUAAUUGUGUAAGUCUCGAGUAUUUUUUUUUUCCAUCUAUGUGCUUCCAUGUUGCUGUUAGAAGCUACGGUUUGAACACUGCUAGCUUUAAUUUUGUAGUGCGCCUUUCUUGAUGAUAUCAUCCAAAGAGUUUCUUUGUUACACUUUGAUUCUUAUGUUUUGAAAUGUAUUAGAAACUACGGUUUCAUAUGUGUUCUUCAUAUGUUGCCGUUAGAAGCUACAGUUUUUUCCUUCAACAUAAUAUAUCUCUUGGUCGAUUUCACUUUCACAUGAAGCGAUAAGUUUGGACACUGCUAACUGUUAUUUGUUAAUUCAUCUGUGAUGAUAUCACCCAAAGAGUCUCUAUUAUUACGCUUUGAUUCUUAAGUUCUGAAUUGAAACAUGCACUGCAAGUGGAAGAAGAUGGAGCUCAUGUCAUUCACAAAAACUGCAGUAGAUGUGGUGCAGGAAGCAUAGGCAAGUAAAACUCACUGAAUGUAGAACUGCUGUUGGUGCUUUUGGAGGUGGAGAAUAUACUAAUGGAGUGUAUGCAACAGCGCUUAUGGUGGCUAAAGCUGGGAGGAGCGACCGUCCUGCCAUUCCAGGCUUAAACAGACCACCUUUCCUUCCCGUUGAGAUACUCAGAGAAACUAUGGGUGAUGUCAUGCGAAGACGCCUUACAGAAUACAAGUCUCUGUUUCCCGCAAUCGAUUUUUCAACUGUAAGAACAUUAUAUUGGUUACAUCUGAUCAAUAUAUCUUUACUGAUAAUAAAUUGUUAGAAAGAUUCUUAUUCUUGCCUAUGUAUGUUGUAUUAGAUUGUAGGUGACAAUGAUUGUAUUAAUUGAUACUUUUUUUUC